GACGAACGCUGGCGGCGUGCUUAACACAUGCAAGUCGAGCGGUAAGGCCCUUUCGGGGGUACACGAGCGGCGAACGGGUGAGUAACACGUGGGUGACCUGCCCUUAGCUCUGGGAUAAGCCUGGGAAACUGGGUCUAAUACCGGAUAUGACUCCAUGACGCAUGUUGUGGGGUGGAAAGCCUUGUGCGGCUAGGGAUGGGCCCGCGGCCUAUCAGCUUGUUGGUGGGGUGAUGGCCUACCAAGGCGACGACGGGUAGCCGGCCUGAGAGGGCGUCCGGCCACACUGGGACUGAGACACGGCCCAGACUCCUACGGGAGGCAGCAGUGGGGAAUCUUGCGCAAUGGGCGAAGGCCUGACGCAGCGACGCCGCGUGGGGAUGACGGCCUC
rnacentral:rRNA from 1 species